rnacentral:rRNA from 1 species
UUAAGCGACUAAGCGUACACGGUGGAUGCCCUGGCAGUCAGAGGCGAUGAAGGACGUGCUAAUCUGCGAAAAGCGUCGGUAAGGUGAUAUGAACCGUUAUAACCGGCGAUGUCCGAAUGGGGAAACCCAGUGUGAUUCGUCACACUAUCGUUAACUGAAUACAUAGGUUAACGAGGCGAACCGGGGGAACUGAAACAUCUAAGUACCCCGAGGAAAAGAAAUCAACCGAGAUUCCCCCAGUAGCGGCGAGCGAACGGGGAGCAGCCCAGAGUCUGAAUCAGCUUGUGUGUUAGUGGAACGGUCUGGAAAGUCCGACGGUACAGGGUGAUAGUCCCGUACACCAAAAUGCACAGGCUGUGAACUCGAAGAGUAGGGCGGGACACGUGGUAUCCUGUCUGAAUAUGGGGGGACCAUCCUCCAAGGCUAAAUACUCCUGACUGACCGAUAGUGAACCAGUACCGUGAGGGAAAGGCGAAAAGAACCCCGGCGAGGGGAGUGAAAAAGAACCUGAAACCGUGUACGUACAAGCAGUGGGAGCACCUUCGGGUGUGACUGCGUACCUUUUGUAUAAUGGGUCAGCGACUUAUAUUCUGUAGCAAGGUUAACCGUAUAGGGGAGCCGCAGGGAAACCGAGUCUUAACUGGGCGUUAAGUUGCAGGGUAUAGACCCGAAACCCGGUGAUCUAGCCAUGGGCAGGUUGAAGGUUGGGUAACACUAACUGGAGGACCGAACCGACUAAUGUUGAAAAAUUAGCGGAUGACUUGUGGCUGGGGGUGAAAGGCCAAUCAAACCGGGAGAUAGCUGGUUCUCCCCGAAAGCUAUUUAGGUAGCGCCUCGUGAAUUCAUCUUCGGGGGUAGAGCACUGUUUCGGCUAGGGGGUCAUCCCGACUUACCAACCCGAUGCAAACUACGAAUACCGAAGAAUGUUAUCACGGGAGACACACGGCGGGUGCUAACGUCCGUCGUGAAGAGGGAAACAACCCAGACCGCCAGCUAAGGUCCCAAAGUCAUGGUUAAGUGGGAAACGAUGUGGGAAGGCACAGACAGCCAGGAUGUUGGCUUAGAAGCAGCCAUCAUUUAAAGAAAGCGUAAUAGCUCACUGGUCGAGUCGGCCUGCGCGGAAGAUGUAACGGGGCUAAACCAUGCACCGAAGCUGCGGCAGCGACACUAUGUGUUGUUGGGUAGGGGAGCGUUCUGUAAGCCUGCGAAGGUGACCUGUGAGGGUUGCUGGAGGUAUCAGAAGUGCGAAUGCUGACAUAAGUAACGAUAAAGCGGGUGAAAAGCCCGCUCGCCGGAAGACCAAGGGUUCCUGUCCAACGUUAAUCGGGGCAGGGUGAGUCGACCCCUAAGGCGAGGCCGAAAGGCGUAGUCGAUGGGAAACAGGUUAAUAUUCCUGUACUUGGUGUUACUGCGAAGGGGGGACGGAGAAGGCUAUGUUAGCCGGGCGACGGUUGUCCCGGUUUAAGCAUGUAGGCUGGUUGUCCAGGCAAAUCCGGAUAAUCAAGGCUGAGGUGUGAUGACGAGGCACUACGGUGCUGAAGUAACAAAUGCCCUGCUUCCAGGAAAAGCCUCUAAGCAUCAGGUAACAUCAAAUCGUACCCCAAACCGACACAGGUGGUCAGGUAGAGAAUACCAAGGCGCUUGAGAGAACUCGGGUGAAGGAACUAGGCAAAAUGGUGCCGUAACUUCGGGAGAAGGCACGCUGGUGUGUAGGUGAAGUCCCUGCGGAUGGAGCUGAGACCAGUCGAAGAUACCAGCUGGCUGCAACUGUUUAUUAAAAACACAGCACUGUGCAAACACGAAAGUGGACGUAUACGGUGUGACGCCUGCCCGGUGCCGGAAGGUUAAUUGAUGGGGUUAUCCGUAAGGAGAAGCUCUUGAUCGAAGCCCCGGUAAACGGCGGCCGUAACUAUAACGGUCCUAAGGUAGCGAAAUUCCUUGUCGGGUAAGUUCCGACCUGCACGAAUGGCGUAAUGAUGGCCAGGCUGUCUCCACCCGAGACUCAGUGAAAUUGAACUCGCUGUGAAGAUGCAGUGUACCCGCGGCAAGACGGAAAGACCCCGUGAACCUUUACUAUAGCUUGACACUGAACAUUGAGCCUUGAUGUGUAGGAUAGGUGGGAGGCUUUGAAGCGUGGACGCCAGUCUGCGUGGAGCCAACCUUGAAAUACCACCCUUUAAUGUUUGAUGUUCUAACGUUGGCCCCUGACCGGGGUUGCGGACAGUGUCUGGUGGGUAGUUUGACUGGGGCGGUCUCCUCCCAAAGCGUAACGGAGGAGCACGAAGGUUAGCUAAUCCUGGUCGGACAUCAGGAGGUUAGUGCAAUGGCAUAAGCUAGCUUGACUGCGAGCGUGACGGCGCGAGCAGGUGCGAAAGCAGGUCAUAGUGAUCCGGUGGUUCUGAAUGGAAGGGCCAUCGCUCAACGGAUAAAAGGUACUCCGGGGAUAACAGGCUGAUACCGCCCAAGAGUUCAUAUCGACGGCGGUGUUUGGCACCUCGAUGUCGGCUCAUCACAUCCUGGGGCUGAAGUAGGUCCCAAGGGUAUGGCUGUUCGCCAUUUAAAGUGGUACGCGAGCUGGGUUUAGAACGUCGUGAGACAGUUCGGUCCCUAUCUGCCGUGGGCGCUGGAGAAUUGAGGGGGGCUGCUCCUAGUACGAGAGGACCGGAGUGGACGCAUCACUGGUGUUCGGGUUGUCAUGCCAAUGGCACUGCCCGGUAGCUAAAUGCGGAAGAGAUAAGUGCUGAAAGCAUCUAAGCACGAAACUUGCCCCGAGAUGAGUUCUCCCUGAGACUUUAAGUCUCCUGAAGGAACGUUAAAGACGAUGACGUUGAUAGGCCGGGUGUGUAAGCGCAGCGAUGCGUUGAGCUAACCGGUACUAAUGAACCGUGAGGCUUAACCUU